rnacentral:rRNA from 1 species
UUAAGCGACUAAGCGUACACGGUGGAUGCCCUGGCAGUCAGAGGCGAUGAAGGACGUGCUAAUCUGCGAAAAGCGUCGGUAAGGUGAUAUGAACCGUUAUAACCGGCGAUGUCCGAAUGGGGAAACCCAGUGCAAUUCGUUGCACUAUCGUUAACUGAAUACAUAGGUUAACGAGGCGAACCGGGGGAACUGAAACAUCUAAGUACCCCGAGGAAAAGAAAUCAACCGAGAUUCCCCCAGUAGCGGCGAGCGAACGGGGAGCAGCCCAGAGUCUGAAUCAGCUUGUGUGUUAGUGGAACGGUCUGGAAAGUCCGACGGUACAGGGUGAUAGUCCCGUACACCAAAAUGCACAGGCUGUGAACUCGAAGAGUAGGGCGGGACACGUGGUAUCCUGUCUGAAUAUGGGGGGACCAUCCUCCAAGGCUAAAUACUCCUGACUGACCGAUAGUGAACCAGUACCGUGAGGGAAAGGCGAAAAGAACCCCGGCGAGGGGAGUGAAAAAGAACCUGAAACCGUGUACGUACAAGCAGUGGGAGCACCUUCGGGUGUGACUGCGUACCUUUUGUAUAAUGGGUCAGCGACUUAUAUUCUGUAGCAAGGUUAACCGUAUAGGGGAGCCGCAGGGAAACCGAGUCUUAACUGGGCGUUAAGUUGCAGGGUAUAGACCCGAAACCCGGUGAUCUAGCCAUGGGCAGGUUGAAGGUUGGGUAACACUAACUGGAGGACCGAACCGACUAAUGUUGAAAAAUUAGCGGAUGACUUGUGGCUGGGGGUGAAAGGCCAAUCAAACCGGGAGAUAGCUGGUUCUCCCCGAAAGCUAUUUAGGUAGCGCCUCGUGAACUCAUCUUCGGGGGUAGAGCACUGUUUCGGCUAGGGGGUCAUCCCGACUUACCAACCCGAUGCAAACUACGAAUACCGAAGAAUGUUAUCACGGGAGACACACGGCGGGUGCUAACGUCCGUCGUGAAGAGGGAAACAACCCAGACCGCCAGCUAAGGUCCCAAAGUCAUGGUUAAGUGGGAAACGAUGUGGGAAGGCACAGACAGCCAGGAUGUUGGCUUAGAAGCAGCCAUCAUUUAAAGAAAGCGUAAUAGCUCACUGGUCGAGUCGGCCUGCGCGGAAGAUGUAACGGGGCUAAACCAUGCACCGAAGCUGCGGCAGCGACACGAUGUGUUGUUGGGUAGGGGAGCGUUCUGUAAGCCUGCGAAGGUGACCUGUGAGGGUUGCUGGAGGUAUCAGAAGUGCGAAUGCUGACAUAAGUAACGAUAAAGCGGGUGAAAAGCCCGCUCGCCGGAAGACCAAGGGUUCCUGUCCAACGUUAAUCGGGGCAGGGUGAGUCGACCCCUAAGGCGAGGCCGAAAGGCGUAGUCGAUGGGAAACAGGUUAAUAUUCCUGUACUUGGUGUUACUGCGAAGGGGGGACGGAGAAGGCUAUGUUAGCCGGGCGACGGUUGUCCCGGUUUAAGCAUGUAGGCUGGUUAUCCAGGCAAAUCCGGAUAAUCAAGGCUGAGGUGUGAUGACGAGGCACUACGGUGCUGAAGUAACAAAUGCCCUGCUUCCAGGAAAAGCCUCUAAGCAUCAGGUAACAUCAAAUCGUACCCCAAACCGACACAGGUGGUCAGGUAGAGAAUACCAAGGCGCUUGAGAGAACUCGGGUGAAGGAACUAGGCAAAAUGGUGCCGUAACUUCGGGAGAAGGCACGCUGGUGUGUAGGUGAAGCCCCUGCGGGUGGAGCUGAGACCAGUCGAAGAUACCAGCUGGCUGCAACUGUUUAUUAAAAACACAGCACUGUGCAAACACGAAAGUGGACGUAUACGGUGUGACGCCUGCCCGGUGCCGGAAGGUUAAUUGAUGGGGUUAUCCGUAAGGAGAAGCUCUUGAUCGAAGCCCCGGUAAACGGCGGCCGUAACUAUAACGGUCCUAAGGUAGCGAAAUUCCUUGUCGGGUAAGUUCCGACCUGCACGAAUGGCGUAAUGAUGGCCAGGCUGUCUCCACCCGAGACUCAGUGAAAUUGAACUCGCUGUGAAGAUGCAGUGUACCCGCGGCAAGACGGAAAGACCCCGUGAACCUUUACUAUAGCUUGACACUGAACAUUGAGCCUUGAUGUGUAGGAUAGGUGGGAGGCUUUGAAGCGUGGACGCCAGUCUGCGUGGAGCCAACCUUGAAAUACCACCCUUUAAUGUUUGAUGUUCUAACGUUGGCCCCUGACCGGGGUUGCGGACAGUGUCUGGUGGGUAGUUUGACUGGGGCGGUCUCCUCCCAAAGCGUAACGGAGGAGCACGAAGGUUAGCUAAUCCUGGUCGGACAUCAGGAGGUUAGUGCAAUGGCAUAAGCUAGCUUGACUGCGAGCGUGACGGCGCGAGCAGGUGCGAAAGCAGGUCAUAGUGAUCCGGUGGUUCUGAAUGGAAGGGCCAUCGCUCAACGGAUAAAAGGUACUCCGGGGAUAACAGGCUGAUACCGCCCAAGAGUUCAUAUCGACGGCGGUGUUUGGCACCUCGAUGUCGGCUCAUCACAUCCUGGGGCUGAAGUAGGUCCCAAGGGUAUGGCUGUUCGCCAUUUAAAGUGGUACGCGAGCUGGGUUUAGAACGUCGUGAGACAGUUCGGUCCCUAUCUGCCGUGGGCGCUGGAGAAUUGAGGGGGGCUGCUCCUAGUACGAGAGGACCGGAGUGGACGCAUCACUGGUGUUCGGGUUGUCAUGCCAAUGGCACUGCCCGGUAGCUAAAUGCGGAAGAGAUAAGUGCUGAAAGCAUCUAAGCACGAAACUUGCCCCGAGAUGAGUUCUCCCUGAGACUUUAAGUCUCCUGAAGGAACGUUGAAGACGACGACGUUGAUAGGCCGGGUGUGUAAGCGCAGCGAUGCGUUGAGCUAACCGGUACUAAUGAACCGUGAGGCUUAACCUU